CCCGACAGCACUAUCUCGAUCACUCCAGCCGGGCCAGCAGGUGGGACUUCAUGCCCGGACACGGGGGGGCAGUGGACACCGGGGGUCUAGGAUGAAGGGCUGUUCUCCGGCACCACGCGGCGGCACAGCGGCUCGGUGUGACUCCCCAUCCGGGCGGGCGCGCUCUCCUCCGGCACGGACUGUUACCAAGUCAUUUACCGGCCGACGGUCCGCUUUGCCUCCGGAAGAACGGCUGUUUUUGGGGGUCGAGGCCCUAAACACGACACGAAUAAGCCCGACGGAACUUGUGUUCGCGGGGGUCUCGGCAGAUUAGCGAGCCGGGAAGCGUCACCUGUGCUGAGCGGCGGUCGCAGCUUCUCAGUUCUUGAGCUAUUUUCUGGGACGUCGUCGAUAAAUCCUCAGUAAAUCCCCUCAACGAGACCUCCGGACACCGCAGGGCGCCGGUCCGAGCCGCGGCUUGCUCCAACUUGUCCCCCGUAACGGCGCGGGCACAGACUGCUCGGUCUUCUGGUAGUCUCGUGCGAAAAGCUGCCGCUGCUGCUGCUGCUGCCGUGUGGCUGCCCGUGACCGCCUCGGCUGGCUCCGGCGCGCACACGUACGUGCGCGAGCUCGUUUCCCCGGCGUGUGACGCGCGCCGCAGUGUCCUCCCCAGCAAGCCGGUCGCCCCGGCAACGCUUUCCUCUGACCUCAAUAUGGUCGCUUUUGUGCUGUUGAAGAAAAAAAGAACAGAAAAAAGGAUGCGUCGCGUUCGCGUCAGUUUUAUCGCGAUGACAGAAAGCGCUCAAGUCCAGCGGCGGUGGAAACAGGCAUGCAUCCAGAUCUCAUUGUGGAGAAGAUUUACUGCCGUUGUGUUUAUUCACUUCCUCGGAUAAACCCCACAGGCAGGGAAAGUGCUGUUUCUCCGCUCAUGUGGGGAGCCAGCCUGUCGUCCAUCAGCCAGAACAUGGCGUCGGCUCGUUGAGCUCUUUACCUCCGGACACAUCCAGCUACCUGAGGGAGGAGAGCGAGGGGAGAGAAAGACCGCUUUGGGGCCGUGAUCUCGGAAAAUUGUCUCUCCCCUCUGUGAUAACAUCGGGACAAAGUGAGCGCGUGUGGGGGAUCUGCGUGUGUCUUCAUGUACAGGGGGGGUGUUGAUGUCCUACACUUGAUAGACCCUUGACAAGUGUCAGAGGUAAUGGCCCACCAGGGAGACCUCACAACCGAGCCUAGAACCAAGACGUACACACACACACACACACACACACACACACACACACACACACACACACACACACACACACACCCUGUGGGUUUUUACUGACUGCAAUGAUAGUCGGCGGCAAACACAUGUGAGACGACGCUCGCAGUCCCUUUUGCACUCCCUUGGCAACGAGGAAACACUCAUCCACUCCCUGUCGUGAGGUGUGUUGUGUUUGAGGUUGGUUUGCCACUGGGGAGCCCCGGGGGGAGCUGCAGGUCUGUAGCGAAAUCCUCUGCAGCGUUUAUGUAUGUUUUCGGGCCUCGAGAAGCACAUUCUGGUGGGCCGUACUUGAUUGGUGCAGCUUUACGCAUAAGCGACCAAAGGCCCUUUAAUGUGGCCCCAGGGUGCUGGGCCCCUGCAGGCUCAGCCGCUUACGGCUAUGGCAUUUCUCCAUUGGAAGAGAACGAGGGAAAGUGGGAAAUGUGUUAACACUCACACAUGCAUACUCGUAUAUGCGAGUACAAACGAAAACACGCAUGUACUUACACAUGUCCAUGCAGCUGUACGCAAUUACCACACAUAUGCAUAUGGCUUUAAUUUUUCCAUUAACAACAGGCCGCCACAACCGCUGCAACCUGCGAUACGGCAAUCAAAUCAUUUGUUUGCUUGGGGGUGUUUGCAAUAAUAUGUCAUUGCAAUCUCAUAAAGCCAUUAACCUUUCUCUCUAAAGCACCUGCAGUGUUCAGAAAGACCAUUUUCUCUCCGCCUAAUUUACUUUCCCUGCAACCUGACCUAUUGAGCGUGCCACCGCCAAUCC
ensembl:lncRNA